UACGGAGGGUGCGAGCGUUGUCCGGAAUCACUGGGCGUAAAGGGCUCGUAGGCGGCCAACUAAGUCCGACGUGAAAUCCCCAGGCUUAACCUGGGAACUGCGUCGGAUACUGGAUGGCUUGAAUUCGGGAGAGGGAUGCAGAAUUCCAGGUGUAGCGGUGAAAUGCGUAGAUAUCUGGAGGAAUACCGGUGGCGAAGGCGGCAUCCUGGACCGACAUUGACGCUGAGGAGCGAAAGCUAGGGGAGCAAACGGG
rnacentral:rRNA from 1 species